rnacentral:rRNA from 1 species
CUGCGGAAGGGAUCAUUACCGAGUGCGGGUCCUUUGGGCCCAACCUCCCAUCCGUGUCUAUUGUACCCCUGUUGCUUCGGCGGGCCCGCCGCUUGUCGGCCGCCGGGGGGGCGCCUCUGCCCCCCGGGCCCGUGCCCGCCGGAGACCCCAACACGAACCCUGUCUGAAAGCGUGCAGUCUGAGUCGAUUGUUUGCAAUCAGUUAAAACUUUCAACAAUGGAUCUCUUGGUUCCGGCAUCGAUGAAGAACGCAGCGAAAUGCGAUAACUAAUGUGAAUUGCAGAAUUCAGUGAAUCAUCGAGUCUUUGAACGCACAUUGCGCCCCCUGGUAUUCCGGGGGGCAUGCCUGUCCGAGCGUCAUUGCUGCCCUCAAGCCCGGCUUGUGUGUUGGGUCGCCGUCCCCUCUCUCCGGGGGGACGGGCCCGAAAGGCAGCGGCGGCACCGCGUCCGAUCCUCGAGCGUAUGGGGCUUUGUCACAUGCUCUGUAGGAUUGGCCGGCGCCUGCCGACGUUUUCCAACCAUUCUUUCCAGGUUGACCUCGAGUCAGUUAGGAUACCCCCUG